UACGUAGGGUCCGAGCGUUGUCCGGAAUUACUGGGCGUAAAGAGCUCGUAGGUGGUUUGUCGCGUUGUUCGUGAAAACUCACAGCUCAACUGUGGGCGUGCGGGCGAUACGGGCAGACUAGAGUACUGCAGGGGAGACUGGAAUUCCUGGUGUGGCGGUGGAAUGCGCAGAUAUCAGGAGGAACACCGGUGGCGAAGGCGGGUCUCUGGGCAGUAACUGACGCUGAGGAGCGAAAGCGUGGGGAGCGAACAGG
rnacentral:rRNA from 1 species